GAAGGUAUAGCUCAGUGGUAGAGUGCAUGCCUAGCAUGCAUGAGGUCCUGGGUUCAAACCCCAGUAUCUCCA
rnacentral:tRNA from 1 species